AAUUAAAGAGCCAAUCGCCAUAAUCAAUCCAUAGAAAAGCUUAUCAAGCAGAAAGCAUGGCUUUACUCCAAGCUCUACCCUUCAGCCGAUCUCCACUCUUUCUUCCUCCUCCGCCCGCCUCAACCGCUUCCCCAUGGAUAUCCAGCUUUCGCCCAAUGUCCAUCUCCGCCAUAUCCCAGAAAGAGGGCCACAACGGAAGACGGAUCUGGAGGCGCAGGAAACUGGUAUUCUCCA